AGUCAUUAACUAUAUCUCCAUAUGUUGUUAAUGCUUGCGUUAUCUAUAGUGAAACUUCUCUUAGGCUCUUAUCAUAUGUUCAUAUGUGAAAAGAUACCAAGAUAAGGACAUUU
rfam:Tetrahymena thermophila SB210 genomic scaffold scf_8254431, whole genome shotgun sequence.